GGAAAGGUGGCCGAGUGGUUGAAGGCGCACGCUUGGAAAGCGUGUUAUGGGUUAAACCAUACGAGGGUUCGAAUCCCUCCCUUUCCGCCA
rnacentral:tRNA from 1 species